CAGUAAGAAAAGAACUCACUAGGAAAGCUGUUGAAAGGAUGCUCAUAGCCAAACCGAAGAACUACAAGUGGUCGUGAUGAGAAACCAAAGUAAAUCAAUGAGAUCCCCAUUUUCACACAGCAGAUUAGGGCAAGUUGGGAACUACUCAGAUUUGGGGGGGUUCAGGUAUUGGGGGAUCCUAGCAUCACUCCCUGACUCUCACCCACAGUUGAAGGGGGGGGACAUAUUGCAGGUGGGUGGAGCAGGAUGUGGGCACACCAGUGGGUGGGGUGGGUCAGGGUGGAGGCACCGGAAGUUUAUUCACUGCUCAGUUUAUUCACUGCUGGCCUGGUUUCUGCAAGGGAGGACUUCCCCCGGCACUCCCAGCCUCUCACCACACUCCCCAGGGCCAAGUGAGUCGGUUGCUUCCUACUCAAGGUUCACACGUGACCAUCACCUUGGCCUAGUGGGUCUGGGUGCGCCUGCGCAUCAGAACCAGCUGGAUGGCUUUUAAUCCACGUGGGCACUUGGCCCCACUCCUCAGGUAUUAGAUGCGUGGCCCGGGGUAGGGACUGGGCACCAGUUCUUUUAAAGCUUGUCUGCGACAUGAGUGCCUCCACAUGGGAGGAGUGGAAGGCAGGGGUGGAGGGAGGCCCCACUAUGUUCUAGUGUAACCCAAACAAGGCAACAAAGGUCAAGUUCCCAUCCCAGGUGCAGACCCUCCGUCCACCCACCCCUAUUUGCUGGCCUGUAGUUCUUGCUUUGAACCUCAGUGAUUCAGGGUCCUGAGCCAGUCCUGCCAGCAGAGGGCAGCAAGCGUAUGGUAAAUGAGGGUUCCCCAUUCCUGAAAAGGACCUUAGAAAUCAUUGCAUCCAAAUUCUUCAGAUAGAGAUGAGAAAAAAAAGGAGAUGCAGAGAGGAAAGCCUUGGAGCCCAAAAUCUCACGGAGAGAAAAGUGCUCCUUUCUUUUAGCUCUCCCUCAGCGAACACCUCAUGCCAGUCAGGCGCUGGGUUCUGGGAUCUGGAUAUGACAAGGGCCCUGCCCCUUGGAGAAACACACUUCCAAGCACAUCAUGGUACUAGAUGUGUAAAGUUUUCUAGAAUGGGCUUUGGAGGAGUGGAAGGCUAGUUCUUGGGAGACCAUUUAUUUAGCCAUUCAGGAAUUUGUAUGGAGUCAGCACAUACUAUGGAGCAGAUACUGUGCUAGGCCCAGGAGGUGUGACUAACAACACUGGCUCUUUUACUCCCUUGAGACUCUCUCUCUCUCUCUCUCUAUCAGGAUACAAUCCAGUGGAUGAGGAGGAUGGAAAACAGAUGAAGAGCAUGCACCCCAGACAUUUGGGACCUAGGAGGCUGGAGUGGGGGGGCAGGGACCAAGGUCUACACUGAGACCUUUCUGAUGAAAAGUGGGUGGGUUUGUUUUGAUGUGUGUUCAAACAAACCAAUGAAAAACAAAUACCAUGGAUCAAUCAGGGGACUUUGAAACCAGCUGGAUAUUUGAUCCUUAAAAAAAAAUUAUGGCCCAUUUUGUUUUUAGUGUAAUGAUGGCAUUGGGGUCAUGUUUUAGAAAAGACUUCUCAUUUUAAAGAUAUAUAUGCUGAAUAUUGACAGAUGGCUGGAUAUAUAUGAUGUCUGAAUAUUUUUAAAAGUUGGAAGUGGAGGAAGAAGAGUGUGGAAAUCAAUGAAGCUGGGUGGCUCCAGGUGGGUCCUAUUGAGGUGGGUGACAGGUAGAGAGCCUUCUAAUUUAUAAAUGCUAACACUCUGCAUAAUAAAAAGGUAAAUAAAAAGUUUAAGUGACAA